GGCCGCUUAGCUCAGUUGGUUAGAGCGUGGUACUAAUAUUACGGGUUCCCGAGUGGGAACGUCGAUAUUCAAUGCCAAGGUCGGCAGUUCGAGCCUGCCAGUGGUCA
rfam:Ceraceosorus bombacis genome assembly, contig: Scaffold_272